CCGGAGGGUUUAGGAGCCAGGCCCCUUUGCUGAUGAACAGUAGAGGCCAUCAAUCAGCGAGCAGAUAUGCAGGAACAUAUAUAUGGUCAGAAGCAACUUGCCAAACACUCCAGCAGCCUGGCAGGACGAGAAAUGAUGAUGAAGAGCUUUUUGACAAGCUCAGUGACAAAGGUGAGCUCUGAACUCUCUGAGCGCUCAUACGCCUGGCAAAGAAAGACAGGAUGACAUUAGCUUCUCCAGAUUCUCCUGCAGCUCUCGGAAGUAAACGCUUGUGAUCAGCCCCUCGUGUGAUUUGGUCAGGCAGUCUCUGGACAUCUCGG